rnacentral:rRNA from 1 species
AAAGGUAAGGGGGGUAUGGGAUUCCGGGAUCGCAGAUUAUUUAACCAAGCCCUCUUUGCCAAACAAGCGUGGAGGUUAUUGGUUCAUCCGAAUUUGUUAUGUGCUAAGCUGAUGAAGGCAAAGUAUUACCCUCAUGGACAUAUUCUUGAUACAGUGUUUCCUCAGUCUGCAUCAUUGACUUGGCAGGGUAUUAUGCAUGGUCUGGAACUGCUUAAGAAUGGUGUCAUUUGGCGGGUGGGUGAUGGAUCUAGCAUUAAUAUUUGGAGGGAUAAUUGGUUACCCAGGAACACUGGACUUAAAAUUUCAGCUAGAAGGCAUAAUACUAGAUUGAAGUGGGUCUCUGAUUUGUUCUUGAGUGGGAGAAAGGCAUGGGAUGAAAAUUUGAUCAAGUAUCUUUUCUAUCCCCAUGAUGCAGAGGAGGUUCUUAAGAUUCGUAUUCAUGCUUAUGGGGAUGGGGAUUUUAUUGCGUGGCACUAUGAGAAUAACGGUAUAUUUUCCGUUAAAAGUGCGUACAAUUUAGCACUUAAGUUGAAGGAUAGUCAAGAUAAAUUUGGUCAAUCUAGUGGCGAUCCAUGCGGAGAAAGAAGACUCUGA